rnacentral:rRNA from 1 species
GGUUAAGCGACUAAGCGUACACGGUGGAUGCCCUGGCAGUCAGAGGCGAUGAAGGACGUGCUAAUCUGCGAUAAGCGUCGGUAAGGUGAUAUGAACCGUUAUAACCGGCGAUUUCCGAAUGGGGAAACCCAGUGUGAUUCGUCACACUAUCAUUAACUGAAUCCAUAGGUUAAUGAGGCGAACCGGGGGAACUGAAACAUCUAAGUACCCCGAGGAAAAGAAAUCAACCGAGAUUCCCCCAGUAGCGGCGAGCGAACGGGGAGCAGCCCAGAGCCUGAAUCAGUGUGUGUGUUAGUGGAAGCGUCUGGAAAGGCGCGCGAUACAGGGUGACAGCCCCGUACACAAAAAUGCACAUGCUGUGAGCUCGAUGAGUAGGGCGGGACACGUGGUAUCCUGUCUGAAUAUGGGGGGACCAUCCUCCAAGGCUAAAUACUCCUGACUGACCGAUAGUGAACCAGUACCGUGAGGGAAAGGCGAAAAGAACCCCGGCGAGGGGAGUGAAAAAGAACCUGAAACCGUGUACGUACAAGCAGUGGGAGCACGCUUCGGCGUGUGACUGCGUACCUUUUGUAUAAUGGGUCAGCGACUUAUAUUCUGUAGCAAGGUUAACCGAAUAGGGGAGCCGAAGGGAAACCGAGUCUUAACUGGGCGUUAAGUUGCAGGGUAUAGACCCGAAACCCGGUGAUCUAGCCAUGGGCAGGUUGAAGGUUGGGUAACACUAACUGGAGGACCGAACCGACUAAUGUUGAAAAAUUAGCGGAUGACUUGUGGCUGGGGGUGAAAGGCCAAUCAAACCGGGAGAUAGCUGGUUCUCCCCGAAAGCUAUUUAGGUAGCGCCUCGUGAAUUCAUCUCCGGGGGUAGAGCACUGUUUCGGCAAGGGGGUCAUCCCGACUUACCAACCCGAUGCAAACUGCGAAUACCGGAGAAUGUUAUCACGGGAGACACACGGCGGGUGCUAACGUCCGUCGUGAAGAGGGAAACAACCCAGACCGCCAGCUAAGGUCCCAAAGUCAUGGUUAAGUGGGAAACGAUGUGGGAAGGCCCAGACAGCCAGGAUGUUGGCUUAGAAGCAGCCAUCAUUUAAAGAAAGCGUAAUAGCUCACUGGUCGAGUCGGCCUGCGCGGAAGAUGUAACGGGGCUAAACCAUGCACCGAAGCUGCGGCAGCGACGCUUAUGCGUUGUUGGGUAGGGGAGCGUUCUGUAAGCCUGUGAAGGUGUGCUGUGAGGCAUGCUGGAGGUAUCAGAAGUGCGAAUGCUGACAUAAGUAACGAUAAAGCGGGUGAAAAGCCCGCUCGCCGGAAGACCAAGGGUUCCUGUCCAACGUUAAUCGGGGCAGGGUGAGUCGACCCCUAAGGCGAGGCCGAAAGGCGUAGUCGAUGGGAAACAGGUUAAUAUUCCUGUACUUGGUGUUACUGCGAAGGGGGGACGGAGAAGGCUAUGUUGGCCGGGCGACGGUUGUCCCGGUUUAAGCGUGUAGGCUGGUUUUCCAGGCAAAUCCGGAAAAUCAAGGCUGAGGCGUGAUGACGAGGCACUACGGUGCUGAAGCAACAAAUGCCCUGCUUCCAGGAAAAGCCUCUAAGCAUCAGGUAACAUCAAAUCGUACCCCAAACCGACACAGGUGGUCAGGUAGAGAAUACCAAGGCGCUUGAGAGAACUCGGGUGAAGGAACUAGGCAAAAUGGUGCCGUAACUUCGGGAGAAGGCACGCUGAUAUGUAGGUGAAGCGACUUGCUCGUGGAGCUGAAAUCAGUCGAAGAUACCAGCUGGCUGCAACUGUUUAUUAAAAACACAGCACUGUGCAAACACGAAAGUGGACGUAUACGGUGUGACGCCUGCCCGGUGCCGGAAGGUUAAUUGAUGGGGUUAGCGCAAGCGAAGCUCUUGAUCGAAGCCCCGGUAAACGGCGGCCGUAACUAUAACGGUCCUAAGGUAGCGAAAUUCCUUGUCGGGUAAGUUCCGACCUGCACGAAUGGCGUAAUGAUGGCCAGGCUGUCUCCACCCGAGACUCAGUGAAAUUGAACUCGCUGUGAAGAUGCAGUGUACCCGCGGCAAGACGGAAAGACCCCGUGAACCUUUACUAUAGCUUGACACUGAACAUUGAGCCUUGAUGUGUAGGAUAGGUGGGAGGCUUUGAAGUGUGGACGCCAGUCUGCAUGGAGCCGACCUUGAAAUACCACCCUUUAAUGUUUGAUGUUCUAACGUUGACCCGUAAUCCGGGUUGCGGACAGUGUCUGGUGGGUAGUUUGACUGGGGCGGUCUCCUCCUAAAGAGUAACGGAGGAGCACGAAGGUUGGCUAAUCCUGGUCGGACAUCAGGAGGUUAGUGCAAUGGCAUAAGCCAGCUUGACUGCGAGCGUGACGGCGCGAGCAGGUGCGAAAGCAGGUCAUAGUGAUCCGGUGGUUCUGAAUGGAAGGGCCAUCGCUCAACGGAUAAAAGGUACUCCGGGGAUAACAGGCUGAUACCGCCCAAGAGUUCAUAUCGACGGCGGUGUUUGGCACCUCGAUGUCGGCUCAUCACAUCCUGGGGCUGAAGUAGGUCCCAAGGGUAUGGCUGUUCGCCAUUUAAAGUGGUACGCGAGCUGGGUUUAGAACGUCGUGAGACAGUUCGGUCCCUAUCUGCCGUGGGCGCUGGAGAACUGAGGGGGGCUGCUCCUAGUACGAGAGGACCGGAGUGGACGCAUCACUGGUGUUCGGGUUGUCAUGCCAAUGGCACUGCCCGGUAGCUAAAUGCGGAAGAGAUAAGUGCUGAAAGCAUCUAAGCACGAAACUUGCCCCGAGAUGAGUUCUCCCUGACUCCUUGAGAGUCCUGAAGGAACGUUGAAGACGACGACGUUGAUAGGCCGGGUGUGUAAGCGCAGCGAUGCGUUGAGCUAACCGGUACUAAUGAACCGUGAGGCUUAACCUU